AAAAAACCAAUUCUCCGGUUUCCGUGUCCAAUGUUUGACCAUCCGUCUUAUUUGAAAAAUUUUCAGAAAAUUAGAAAAAAAAUUAGUCACACGUAAAGUACUAUUCAUGAUUUAUCAUCUAAUAAAAACAAAAAUAUCAAUCGUAAAAAUUUUUUGAAUAAGACGAAAAGUCAAAAAUUGUAGGUCAAAAGUGAAAGAUUGGUUUAUU
rfam:Oryza brachyantha chromosome 1, whole genome shotgun sequence.